rnacentral:rRNA from 1 species
UAGGGAAUCUUCCACAAUGGACGCAAGUCUGAUGGAGCAACGCCGCGUGAGUGAAGAAGGUUUUCGGAUCGUAAAGCUCUGUUGUUGGUGAAGAAGGAUAGAGGUAGUAACUGGCCUUUAUUUGACGGUAAUCAACCAGAAAGUCACGGCUAACUACGUGCCAGCAGCCGCGGUAAUACGUAGGUGGCAAGCGUUGUCCGGAUUUAUUGGGCGUAAAGCGAGCGCAGGCGGAAGAAUAAGUCUGAUGUGAAAGCCCUCGGCUUAACCGUGGAACUGCAUCGGAAACUGUUUUUCUUGAGUGCAGAAGAGGAGAGUGGAAUUCCAUGUGUAGCGGUGGAAUGCGCAGAUAUAUGGAAGAAAACAAGUGGCGAAGGCGACUCUCUGGUCUGCAACUGACGCUGAGGCUCGAAAGCAUGGGUAGCGAACAGG